GUCACAGAUGAGAACCUCUGGGCAAGGAUAGAGGGACAAACAAAUGAAGUUUUCUGUGGUAUGAAAUGUUCCUUUCUGCUUCAGUGCUGUUAAUCCAAGAAAUGUACUGGAUCCAAGCAGCGUCCUUAUGAUGGGAUCAAGAACUUUCAGUUGCCAGAGGCAAGAAAUUGGACAUGACAGACCAGUGAGCUGGGUAAAUCCUGUGCUUAUUUUUGAAGUACUCCCUGCCAAAUUCGAAGAAUUGGCAAGUCAUCUGUGCUUAUUAUAAAGUUUUAUGUUAAUAAAAUAAACCUGAUCAAGAGCUACAUUCUUUCUUUUU